GUCACUUUGGCGGAGUGGUUAACGCGCUGCCCUGCUAACUAACCCCCAGUUAGCCUGCUAGGCAGUUCCCUCGGGAGCGUAGGUUCGAAUCCUACAGGUGACG